AAACAGGGGGUACCAGUACAGAGUCAAUGUGGAGGCUAUAUACAGGGGGUACCGGUACAGAGUCAAUGUGGAGGCUAUAUACAGGGUAUUACGGUACAGAGUCAAUGUGGAGGCUAUAUACAGGGUAUUACGGUACAGAGUCAAUGUGGAGGCUAUAUACAGGGGGUACCGGUACAGAGUCAAUGUGGAGGCUAUAUACAGGGUAUUACGGUACAGAGUCAAUGUGGAGGCUAUAUACAGGGGGUACCGGUACAGAGUCAAUGUGGAGGCUAUAUACAGGGGGUACCGGUACAGAGUCAAUGCGGAGGCUAUAUACAGGGGGUACCGGUACAGAGUCAAUGUGGAGGCUAUAAACAGGGGGUACCAGUACAGAGUCAAUGUGGAGGCUAUAUACAGGGG
rnacentral:lncRNA from 1 species